rnacentral:rRNA from 1 species
CGGCCAGGGAUGUGCUCGCGGCCUAUCAGCUUGUUGGUGGGGUAAUGGCCUACCAAGGCUUCGACGGUAGCCGGCCUGAGAGGGUGACCGGCCACACUGGGACUGAGACACGGCCCAGACUCCUACGGGAGGCAGCAGUGGGGAAUAUUGGACAAUGGGCGGAAGCCUGAUCCAGCAACGCCGCGUGAGGGAUGACGGCCUUCGGGUUGUAAACCUCUUUCAGUACCGACGAGGCGCCGAUGAUGGUGGUGACGGUAGGUACAGAAGAAGCACCGGCCAACUACGUG